AAUUGCUAAAAUCUACUGAAUUUCUUGGCUUAUUCUCCACAAGUCACAAUUUUUUGAAGUGCUUGCAAAAGACUGUCUUAGAUAAUAUCGUUUUCGCUUUUUUUUUUUUUUUGGUCUGGAGCAAGUCUAGUGAGUAAAACCAAAAAGAAAUAGGAAACUGUCUUUAUGCCCAAUGUUAAGAAGACUUAGUGCUCAUUAUGUAUGUGUGUUCGUGUCUCUCAGUCAUCUGUUGUGCAUCCGUUGCUGCAGCUUAUUCCUCGACUGCAUGAGAGAAGAAUGAAGAGAUUCAAAGUGGACGAACAAUUCCAAGGUCCUUAUGUAAGCCAACGUCGAAGAUACUUUUUAUUCAGGCCACGCAACGGAAGAAGGUCAGAAGAUUACGUUUGAAAUGGGCACUGGCAGUUUUUCCCCAGAAACAAUAUCAUGGAAUACAAAAUAUACUUAGAUUUUGUUUACUUCUCAGAAACAAUUCUUGCUUAAGUUUACCAUGUUUAAGAGUUCCUGUGUUGUAAAUGGUCUCACUAAAAACUGAUUAAGAUUAUAAAUGUUUCAUUUGUUGAAAAUUAAAAAAAAAAAAGCAUC